rnacentral:piRNA from 1 species
UCCACUUCAGAUGUGUGUCAAGAGCAUGGU